AGGUAGUAGGUAAGUCAUACAUGUCGUUUUUCAUCCACUAUGCAACUUUCUCAUAUAUUUGAUCUACUGCCUUUGAGUGCUAAAUGAUAUCUCGGUUCUACAUUGCUGAUAUUUUAAUUUAGUAUUAUGUAUGCGAAUAAUUAGAUGAACAUUAUUUUAAAAGAUAUCUCUUCCCCUCACUCUCUCUACCUCCCGACCUCUCCAGAAGCCUGGCGCUCUCUCUCUCUCCCUUUCCCUCAAGCGACGGCGCGGGGCACCAGGCGAUGGCGCGGCCUGCAGGCAGGGCGACGACGCAGGAGAGGCCUGACAACCCCCUCCCUCUCCUCCAUCCUCUGUGUUGCCUCGUCGUUGUCGCGUCCUGCCGCGACGGCUGCGCUCCUCCUGUGGGCGAAACCCUAGCUAUCAUGCCGCAGCAAGAGGGCAAAGCACAGCGGCGGCCGACGCGGUGGCGCC
rnacentral:lncRNA from 1 species